rnacentral:lncRNA from 1 species
UUCUCUCUAUCAUCCACACAUGGGCCCAAAAAGAGCACGUGCAAUCUCACUCUCGUCUUCAUCAGAAUCUUCCUCCGAUCACCAAGAAGAGGAUGUCUUGGACGAGAGUAAAUUUAUCAGUUUGGAAGCCCAACACGACUAUUAUCGGAGUGUGGCUAAAUCUUUUGUGAAGGAACGGGGUCUUCUACCUGCGAAGCAGGAUGGCCAACUCUGGUAUAUAUGAUACACGAACGAG